GGGCCAGUGGCUAAGCCAGGUAUAGUGUCAGAUUAUGUCUGGCAUGCCUUCAGCGACAGGCUCUUAACUUGUAGAUGCUGGGACUUCCCCAGUCUCAAGGAAUGGUCGAGGGUUCAAAUCCCUCCUGGCCCGCCA
rnacentral:tRNA from 1 species